rnacentral:rRNA from 1 species
UACGUAGGGGGCAAGCGUUGUCCGGAUUUAUUGGGCGUAAAGAGCGUGUAGGCGGUUAGAUAGGUCUGCUGUGAAAACUCCAGGCUCAACCUGGAGACGUCGGUGGAAACCAUCUAACUAGAGUCCGGAAGAGGAGAGUGGAAUUCCUGGUGUAGCGGUGAAAUGCGCAGAUAUCAGGAAGAACACCGGUGGCGAAGGCGGUUCUCUAGUACGGUACUGACGCUGAGACGCGAAAGCGUGGGGAGCGAACAGG